CCAGGGUAUCACCUUUGAAUGGAAUGACUGACUGGGAUGUUGAGGGGAAGGAAGUUCCCAGAAAGAUCAGAUGACUGUAUGACCGACUGGAAGCUGUGGCUUGCUGCCUUGCCCAUCAGGAGAGAGUAUCAUACUAUGAAUCUCUAGGCUGGAAAAGAUCACAAUUCAAAAUUCAAGAAUCAGAGACCAGUUUGAUGUCCAGGUGGCACGUGAAUAGUUGCGUUGAGCCCUAGUACACACCUGUCAGAUGCACAGAUGGGAGCAGCUGAAAGAACCUGUGGCCCAGAGGAAUGAGCAACAAUCCCAGAGCUAGUCUUUGUUCUACCCCUGCUUCCUCAGGGCUUUGGACAAGUCUCUUA